rnacentral:rRNA from 1 species
GCAACGCGAAGAACCUUACCAGGUCUUGACAUCCCAUUGACCACUGUAGAGAUACAGUUUUCCCUUCGGGGACAACGGUGACAGGUGGUGCAUGGUUGUCGUCAGCUCGUGUCGUGAGAUGUUGGGUUAAGUCCCGCAACGAGCGCAACCCUUGUUCUUAGUUGCCAUCAUUCAGUUGGGCACUCUAAGGAGACUGCCGGUGACAAACCGGAGGAAGGUGGGGAUGACGUCAAAUCAUCAUGCCCCUUAUGACCUGGGCUACACACGUGCUACAAUGGACGGUACAAACGGUCGCCAACCCGCGAGGGGGAGCUAAUCCGAUAAAACCGUUCUCAGUUCGGAUUGUAGGCUGCAACUCGCCUACAUGAAGCCGGAAUCGCUAGUAAUCGCGGAUCAGCAUGCCGCGGUGAAUACGUUCCCGGGCCUUGUACACACCGCCCGUCACACCACGAGAGUUUGUAACACCCGAAGUCGGUGGGGUAACCUUUUGGAGCCAGCCGCCGAAGGUGG